UUUCCGUAGGUGAACCUGCGGAAGGAUCAUUACUGAGUGAGGGCCCUCUGGGUCCAACCUCCCACUCGUGUUUAUUAUACCUUGUUGCUUCGGUGAGCCCGCCUCACGGCCGCCGGGGGGCAUCUGCCCCCGGGCCCGCGCCCACCGAAGACACCUAGAACUCUGUAUGAAGAUUGCAGUCUGAGCAAAAACUAAAUAAGUUAAAACUUUCAACAACGGAUCUCUUGGUUCCG
rnacentral:misc_RNA from 1 species